rnacentral:rRNA from 1 species
GUGCACCAGGCGAGAAACCUUCACAAUGCACGAAAGUGUGAUGAGGGUACUCCGAGUGCGCAUACAUUGUAUGUGCUUUUCUGCAGCGUAAAUAGUUGCAGGAAUAAGGGCUGGGCAAGACCGGUGCCAGCCGCCGCGGUAACACCGGCAGCCCUAGUGGUGGCCGCUUUUAUUGGGCCUAAAGCGUCCGUAGCCGGACAGGCGAGUCUUUGGGUAAAUCCUGCGUCUUAAGCGUGGGAAUUCUAAAGAUACUACCUGUCUUGAGGCCGGGAGAGGCUGGAGGUACUCCUGGGGUAGGGGUAAAAUCCUAUAAUCCUGGGGGGACCACCGAUGGCGAAGGCAUCCAGCUGGAACGGGCCUGACGGUGAGGGACGAAACCCAGGGGAGCGAGCCGGAUUAGAUACCCCCGUAGUCC